GCCCUAUUUACAUGAUUCCCAACUUAUGCUAUAGCAUGAACUUGCUCUAUACCAAUCUAUUCAUUACAAAAAUUCUGUUGUAACUAGAAAGGCCUUUAAUGUGACCAGAACCCAUAUAUAGGCUUGAAAAAUCUACAAGAAAGAAUAUUCUAUUCAGCAACAUAGAAUCACAUUGUUUAGAAAAUCAAUGUCAAGCUCCACGGAUGUGUUGGAUCUGCUGGAAAUGCUUCUGGGCUGCUCUGUUAUUAGUAGCUGCUCGAUCAUUUUCCCCAUAUUCCACCACUGUAUUUGCAGAACUUGGGGUUGACUCAUUAGAAGUGAAUAGAUGAAGUAAAGCUCCCAUUACACAACCCAGUAGGGGAAGAAAGGAGCACUUCACCAUGAUCUAUCUCAGAAUCAUCAUGGGACUGGAAUGGAUUGGAUUGGAAUUUGGCAGACGAAAGAAGGUCUCUUGAAA
rnacentral:misc_RNA from 1 species